UAUAAGUAAUAUGGAAUUAAUACAUUUGUUACCUGAAAAUUUAUAUAAUUUGUUAGACACUAACAUUUCGGGUUUUCAUGUAACAGACCAUUUGAUGGGUGUUUUAACAAAAUACUUUUUAUUAUUUAAUUUUGAUGACUUAAAAAAUGAAGACUGCUAUUUUGAAGGAAAUAUUGUAUCGGAUAAAAUAGAUGAUGGGGAUAGGAGCAAACAUGGUCAAGUUGAACGUACAGGACAAGAAGAGAUAAACGAAAAAAAAAAAAAAAAAAAAUUAAAAAAUGGCGAAAAUUGUGAUGUUAGUAGUAGUAGUAGUAGUAGUAGUAUUAUUAGUAUUAGUAGUAAUAGAGUUGGUAGUAGUGAUGGUAUUAGUAAUAGUAGUAGUAGAAGUGAGAGUGGCACACAUAAAUAUUGUAGUAGAGAAAAUGAAGAUAACACAAAUAUAAAUAAAAGCGGUACCAUCAACACUACUAAUAGUGCUAGAAACCGAGGAGUUAGUACACAGGAAGAUUUGGAUAAUUAUGAAAACACAUAUGAACAAAAAAACGAAAAAGAAACUGUUGAAAACGGAGAUAUAUUUAGUAGUAAAGGACUAGAGAAAAAAGCAAAAGAAAAUAAAAAUAAAAGGUGUAGUAUUAAUAGCAGUGCUGCUACAUUAGAACUAGAUGAAAUAGAUAAAAGCAGUAUGAAAAAGUUUAAAGGUACCGGUACUGGUGUAGAUGUGGGUACGAACGUUGGUACAGAUGCUGACACCGCUACUACCGACGCUACAACAGAUACUACCUUUAAUCACAUCAUAAAUGAAAAAGUUGGUAUGAACCAUUCUAGUGAUAGUCGUAAAAAUAAUACAACUAGUUCAAAUGUAAACUUAAAUAAUAACAUACAUAAUAAAAAUUUUGAAGCCAAUGAGAGUAAUGAUAAAAACAAUGUUAAUACUACUAACUGUGAAAACGAAAAUGAAACAUAUAAUUAUUAUGAAGAUUCUGGAAACGCUUCGGGAAAUAAUUUUAAAGAAUUCGAAAAAGCUGUAAGAAAAAAAUUUCCAAGCUUCUUAAAUCCAACUGUUGACUUAUGUCAUGCCAUUAAUACAUGGAGAGAUCACUUAAAGUUAAUCACUCAGUUGGAAAAACAUACAAAUGUUCAUGAUUUAGUUUCAGAUUUAAAAGCAGCGAAUGAAUUUUUAGAAAAAAAGAUUCACUACAUUGGACUUGAUAAAACCCCCACUUAUAUUAAUAUAUGUUGUUCCAAUAAUGAGUGAGUCGUUCAAAAAAAAAAAAAA
rnacentral:lncRNA from 1 species